CAUUCCACUGAGCAAAACAUCCAUAAAGGACAAAAGGUCUCAAUUACUAAUUCUUCAUAGGUUAAUUAACUAGACAUAAAGCUUAUAAAGGCCUUAGAGAUCAUUUAGUCUAAUUCCUCAUUUACAAAGGAAGAAAAAGGUUUAGAGGGAAAAUUGCUUGCUCAAGGUCACAUUUGGCAGAAUAGGAUCUGAACCCAGGUCCUUGAACACCAAGCUCAGUAUCCUUUCUAGGAAUCAACUCUUCCCCAAGGUUGCAGCUGAGGGUGGUACAAAUACUAUUGAGGAAGAAAAUGAAAUGGAGUUCACAGUUUGCAUAGUGCCUAUUCCUAGACAUGUAGAGAAACAUGGUGAAAGUUGGACUGUUUUUUAGGUCCUAGCCAGGGUUGAAACCUGCUGGAUGAGAAGCCUAGCUGUCCUCCAUGGUGGAGAUCAGCCUCUGAGUAUGUGAGGAAGGACUGAAAGCCAGAGACACAGUUAUUCAAGCAACUGAGGAUCAAAACCAAGGGUGUGCUGAUGAGAGACAGCCAGGAGAGAAAAUGAUGGAGAGACAGAGAGAAGACUGUCAAUGGGACUUCUGUGUAGCAGUGCAUUUUUUGCUUCCUCAGGAAAAUAAUUAUCUUAUAUCUGAUUUGCACUCUACAUUGAAGACCUUUCUACUCUCUUCAGGAAGACUCUAAACAUAAACCAAACCUAAGCUUUCAGCACUUUCCCCCC
rnacentral:lncRNA from 1 species